AACUACAGAAGUCUCACCAACUUCUCAGAAAACCACCACAAAAACCACCACACCAAAUGCUCAAGCAACACGGAGUACACCUGUUUCCAGAACAACCAAGCAUUUUCAUGAAACAACCCCAAAUAAAGGAAGUGGAACCACUUCAGGUACUACCAGUCUUCUAUCUGUAAUUUUCAGCUGCUAGAGUCCGCAUAUGUAGAAAGAGUAGAUGAUUGAAUUCAUCCAGGUUUGGAGCAUAUGUAUGCUAGAGAGAAAUUGAGACAACGAAUACAAGCAAAUUUGCAAGAGUGAUUAUGAUGUACUACACCAUCAAAACUGAGAAAGAAGAGUGUGUAAAAGGGACUAAUGGAUGGUUAUCAUAUCUUCCUUUACGUUAAUUUAUCAGACUUAGCCUCUUCUUCUGCUGGUAGUAUUAAUCUCAAGGACAAAGUCAAAAGUAUUUAUAAUGAUUCAAAGAGGUGCUCAUACAGCUAUUGAGAAUUUUUUUUUAUUUCUUCCUAGCAUUUAGAAAUAUUCUACGUUAAAUGGUAAGAUAAAUAAAAGAAGAAAUGAAAAAGGAGACAUUACAACCAAUACCACAAAAAUUCAAAAGAUCAUUAGAAGGCAUUAUGAGCAACUGUAUGCAAAUGAAUUAGAAAACCUGGAAGAAAUGGAUAAGUUCCUAGACAUAUAUACCUACUGAGAUUGAAUUAUGAAGAGACAGACCACCUAAAUAGGCCAAUAACAAGUAAUAAGAUAGACACAGUAAUAAAAAGUGUUCCAUCAAAGAAAAUCCCAGGACCUUAUGACUUUCCUGCUAAAUUCCACUAAACAUUUCAAGAAGAACUAAUAUCAAUCCUACUCAAAUUAUUUCAAAAAAUUACAGAGAAGAAAAUACAUCCAAAUUCAUUUUAUAAGGCCAGCAUUACCCAGAUAUCAAAAACAGACAAAGAUACACAACAAUGAAAAAA
rnacentral:sRNA from 1 species